GUAGCGGGGGACAACGUUUGGAAACGAACGCUAAUACCGCAUAACAAUGAGAAUCGCAUGAUUUUCAUUUAAAAGAAGCAAUUGCUUCACUACUUGAUGAUCCCGCGUUGUAUUAGCUAGUUGGUAGUGUAAAGGACUACCAAGGCGAUGAUACAUAGCCGACCUGAGAGGGUGAUCGGCCACACUGGGACUGAGACACGGCCCAGACUCCUACGGGAGGCAGCAGUAGGGAAUCUUCGGCAAUGGGGGCAACCCUGACCGAGCAACGCCGCGUGAGUGAAGAAGGUUUUCGGAUCGUAAAACUCUGUUGUUAGAGAAGAACGUUAAGUAGAGUGGAAAAUUACUUAAGUGACGGUAUCUAACCAGAAAGGGACGGCUAACUACGUG
rnacentral:rRNA from 1 species